CCUACUCAUUAAGGCUGCACUUCUUUAUUUAUUCCCCCCCGUUAUACAAAAAUAAUCCAUAUAGCAUGAAUUAGUAUGCACGCGCGAUGGCUUAGCGUAUUUCUUGUAUAACUUUGGUGUUUCUUUACCGAUUUUUAUGAUUCUUUUUUUAUUGAAUAGGUAAUAAUGUUACCUUUUUUAUGGCUGUACACGCGACGGAAGCUUAAAAAAUUGAGUAACUUCUCCCGUUUUCUCAACAUUUCUCUUCACUGCUCUGCUCCUAUUGAUUGUAGCGUAAUGAAAAGUAUACUAUAACCUGCCCAGGAGUAUGAAGAAUAAUUGUACCAAGUUUCAUUAAAAUCCGUCCAGUAGUUUUUGUUUCUAUAAAGAACAUACAGACAGACAGACAGACAAAAAUUUUAUUGAUUGCAUUUUUGGCAUCAGUAUCGAUCACUAAUCACCCCCUGAUAGUUAUUUUGGAAAUAUAUUUCAUGUACAGAAUUGACCUCUCUACAGAUUUAUUAUAAGUAUAGAUUUAAUGAUUCAAAUGAUAAUUUCACUAUUUAAAAUUUACAUCUUUACAAUUAAAAUAUGUAUGAAAAUAACAAUAAUAUCAACUUAACACUUUCAUUACCGCUACGAUUUUCACGAUGUUUUCUCGGGAGCCGCCUACAUUUUACGUUGGACUCGCUAGGUGAGUCGCCGGCGCUGCGAUACGAAUCAUUCGACUCGCCACGCGAGUUCAGUGGCAUUGCGUUAGGGUAAAAACUAUGUUCUGUUAUUUUUGUGGCCGUGACAGUGUACGUUACGUGUUUAAAGCAAUUAACUAGUAUAUGGUGUAAUUUAACAAAAAGAAAAUGGCAAGAAACACUAUAAAUAAACGAAAAGGCCACCACAAAACACAAUAACAUAGAACACAAGAAUCUCAAAGUCCAGAAAACGUUUGCCAGGGGUUAAAACAGUAGGUACUCCAACAGGUCCAGUAAUCGAAAGCCAAGUCACAAUGAUAGAAAACAAAUAUACGCGUGCGAUAAGGAAAGGGUCGUGCUUAACACUAAUCUAUAUAUAAAGAAAGUCGGGUUUGUUACAACACUUCACUCGAGAUUGACCAAUGAGAGCUUGGCAAAAACAAUGUUAUCAGUGCUUUUAUUGCUUACUAACCAGAGCGUUCAUGUUAAAAAAUACCGGUUCCUUUUGUUUUGCCGGCAAUUUUUAACAAUGCGAAGGGAUCCUCCAGGGGGGGGACAGUUCCAUACAUUCUGAGCAAUUUGUUGACUUACAGGCCAUCUAGAUCUAGUAGUGAAACAACUUUUCGACUAAGUUGGUAAAAAUAUCUCAACAGAUGGCAGCAAUUCCAUCGCUAAUCUUAGUGUGCCCAGUAUCAAUAUUUGCAACCAUUUCGUAAUAUUUAAUAAUUUUAACGAUAAUGAAAAAAAUAGUAACUCUGUAAUAAUCUCAUAGACCACUACAUGAAAUAUAUAUUUAAAUAGUUUUGCAAAUCAAACUUCUUCAUUUAAUAAAAUAUGUGACGCAUAAGUUAACAUAGAGUGUUUGGUUAGUUUUUAAGUAACAAAUGGCAACUACGCAACAAUAUUAACUAAAUGGCUAAGAUGAUAUGAAGUAAUAAUCUUUAUAUUAUUUCCGGGAACAAAAUAUUUAUAGUAUGUUCAUGGGGAGGCAAAACAUGGAGCAGUGGCGUUUUUCUUCCAAGCCAUUUUCCAGUCCUUAAUGCGUUUGAUAGCAAAUAAUGUCUGCAAAUUAGUUACGACUUCAUAUACUUUUCUAUAUUUAUUCUGCAAUUAUUUUUUUAAAUAAAAAUAUUUUGACUCCUCAGUUUUGUCCGAUUGCCCGUGAAUAUUACUUAAACAGUUUUUACAGUAUGAUCAUGAAUUAAAUUGUGUUGGUUGCGAUUGUAAGUUAAUGGGUUUAACAAAAUAAGCGUAUAUUAAUUUCAACGUGGCCAUGAACUGUCAUCUGGUCCAGUGGUGAACAUGGUCGAACGGAUUCUAACAAAGUUACGUAUGAUUAGGAAUAGUCGUGGGUUCGAGCCUGGGUGGGGAAUGGAUUCAUCACAAUAUAUUUUUUUUUGUUUUUUUUAUUUGUUUUUCUCAAUUCGUUUUUUUUAAUAUUUUUUGAGUUUUAUUAAACCUCGAUUAAAAAUCUCCAUUUAAAUAAAAUUGCCGCUGUUUUAGUAGUACCUAUAAGUUUACUCCAAACCGCAGUUGGCGCUUCAAUUUAAGCCACCGAAAAUCUUCAAGAGGGCUCUCUUUUCCCAUAUACUUAUUAUACUCUUUGGGAUCCUCUUUCAGUUGUAACUCUUAAAGUAAUAGACCGAGAGUUGAGUUUGUGUUUUCUGCACCGUUCGUUUAACAAAAACGCAAGGACAGACUCAAAAACUUAGAAGUACCCAUUUGGUGAACACCAAAUUCGAGCCCCUACAAGGUGUCGAACACAAUCCGCCGUUGUUUUACGAGUGAAUGUGACUUUUGGUAAAAUGAAAAUAAAAGUAUCUACCUUU